UCUCCAAUGAUGAAACCCAAUUUGUCAGUUCUGCUACUGAGUGGUAGUGAUGAGUUCGAUUUCCUGAGGAGA